rnacentral:lncRNA from 1 species
AGGAGCUAGCAAUGCUACGUGGAAUUGCAUGUCGAAAAUAUUUAAAAAGUCAACCUGCCAUCUCUCCUGCCCUGCUCGUCCAAGUUCCCACUCUAGUUCCAGUACUGGCAGGCUUCACCACUAUAUCCCAGCAGGGUCCUGCUUGGCAUGUUCUCCCAGGUAUCUUCUGAGAGGUUGUUCUCUCUCCACUUCUCAUUCAAGUCUGAAGAUGCUUACAGUCACCUGCAGUACUUCUAAAUCAGAGUUUUGAGAUGGAAGAGGUCACAGCUCCAAUGAUCUCAGCCGAAGAAGAUGAGGAAGAAGACCAGCACAAGUGGUAAGAAUCAGCUCUCCAAGGAAUGUCUUCCUGCCCGGUGUCCUGGACAACUGCCUGUCUUUAGAAUUAACAAAUGCUCUGACUUGCAGAGUCUCUCUCAAAUCAGCUUUUGCUGGUAUCAGGAUUUCUCUGGAGGACUCAACAAAGUCCUCUCCAUGCCUGAGAUUCCUACAAUGAUUGAAAUUCCAUUGUUUCUUCCCCGUGGCAUCCAGCCCACUGUACGCUGUGGCAUUUGGACAGGUUCUUGCCUCGAGUUCCUGCUCUGCCUUCAUUUCACUAUACCUAGAAGCUGAAAUAAACUAUUUCCUCCA